UCCUGAAGGAACGUUGAAGACGACGACGUUGAUAGGCCGGGUGUGUAAGCGCAGCGAUGCGUUGAGCUAACCGGUACUAAUGAACCGUGAGGCUUAACCUUACAACGCCGAAG
rnacentral:rRNA from 48 species